rnacentral:rRNA from 1 species
UGGGGAAUAUUGCACAAUGGGCGCAAGCCUGAUGCAGCCAUGCCGCGUGUAUGAAGAAGGCCUUCGGGUUGUAAAGUACUUUCAGUCGGGAGGAAGGUGGUAAGGUUAAUAACCUUAUCAAUUGACGUUACCGACAGAAGAAGCACCGGCUAACUCCGUUCCAGCAGCCGCGGUAAUACGGAGGGUGCAAGCGUUAAUCGGAAUUACUGGGCGUAAAGCGCACGCAGGCGGUUGAUUGAGUCAGAUGUGAAAUCCCCGGGCUUAACCCGGGAAUUGCAUCUGAUACUGGUCAGCUAGAGUCUUGUAGAGGGGGGUAGAAUUCCAUGUGUAGCGGUGAAAUGCGUAGAGAUGUGGAGGAAUACCGGUGGCGAAGGCGGCCCCCUGGACAAAGACUGACGCUCAGGUGCGAAAGCGUGGGGAGCAAACAGG